rnacentral:lncRNA from 1 species
CCCACGGCACUAUGGUCAUCUGCUAGGUUGUACCACUGACUGGUCAUUCUCCUUUCAAAAUGUGCAGUAAGACUGCAGUCAUCUAUUUUUAGAGUUUAUUGUUUCUUUUAAAGCUAUUUAUGUCUUUGUAAUUUAAAGGGGGAAAAGCUUGCUGAAUCAUGUACAGUUAAAUUUUUCUAAUCGAGGCCUCAUUAAAUCCAGGAUUUGUGCUAAUUCCAUCCAAACUGAGCUGAAUUGUGUGCUAUUUUUGUAGAAAAGAUGAAUAAGCAAAUUGACAGCAUAUUUAACCUACUUAAAUUAAUUACGUGUUUUUAGGUAUGUUGGCAGGGAAUGAUUUGGAGUGAAUAUGCUAAAUGAUAGUAACAACUGCCAAUAUGCCACAUGUCUGUGGCCAGACCAAGAGUCAAGAGAUAAUGUGACACAUUAUUGACUUUGAUCUCAACGACAAACUUAUGAAAUGGUCCUACUUUACAGAUAAGGAAACUGAUAAAGAUGUUAUUUCAUGUGUCCAAGGUAUCACAGUAGGGGAGAAUCAGCAUUUAAACCCAGGUCUGGCUGGCAUCAAAGCCUGUGUUCUCACCUUCAUGCUCUAUUACGAUAAUUCCUGGUCAUCUGGGAGUCCCAGGCUUCAUAAGGAUAUGAUGAAAGCCUCAGAAGGAUUUACCAAGUGAGGAAUAAAAAUGUCUCCUUUCUAAGGGUUGGCACUCCAUCCACUGUCUGGCCCCACCUCUCUCUUGAACUGGGUGGUAGCUUCUCCUUCAUGCUGCUCUGGACUACACAGGAGACUGAUAACCACCUCUGGCCCUCUCCAAGCUGCCUUUGGCUCAGUGGCCUGUGGGCCUUUGGAGGGCCACAGCUGAAUCUUGGUCAUCCAUGUGUUCCCUGAACAAAGGACACAGAUGCUACAGGGGGGAAGCAGGAGAAGAAAUUUUCAAGAAAAACAUUGUGGACAGGAUUUUCAAAAUAGUGGAAGAAGAGCGACUGUGACAAAUAUGGCACAUGGGAGUUUGAUGAGAGCAAAUGAAAAUGAUUCUCCAGUGAGCCAUUCCAUCCAAGAGAACAAGUGGACUGGGUAUGGAACCUUACUGUGUCGUUAUUUUCCUGAACUUUCCUUCUCCAGCCCUUCAGUGCGGUGUCUAUGCUAAUUAGAAACUCACUGUGUCACUCCUUACCAGUCAUAACUGCCAUUUAAUAAUUUCAGGCUAGAAGUGAGACGUAGGUGCUGGAAGUAAUGAAAUAAACAGUAUAGACUAGCAAACUGCUUUCCUAAU